GGCGCUUUGGUGGAGUGGUUAACACGUUGCCCUGCUAUCCCCACCAUCGGAAGAUAGUAGUUUGUAAGGCAAUCCCUUCGGGGGCGUAGGUUCGAAUCCUGCAGGCGUCG
rnacentral:tRNA from 1 species